rnacentral:ncRNA from 1 species
CCUCCGAAGUUUCCCUCAGGAUAGCUGGCAUUCUGAGAAAUAAACAGUUUUAUCCGGUAAAGCGAAUGAUUAGAGGCAUUGGGGAUAAAUCAUCCUCAACCUAUUCUCAAACUUUAAAUGGGUGAGAAGCUUAACUCGCUUAAUUGGAGUUUUGCAUUGAAUGUGAGUGCCAAGUGGGCCAUUUUUGGUAAGCAGAACUGGCGCUGUGGGAUGAACCAAACUCACUGCCUUCUCGUGGCGGGGG